CACGAUUUCACGUGAAAUUGAAAUUUAAAAGAGUUUGUCACUUGUCAUGCUGAAUUGUUGAUUGCUGUGCCUAUGCUGACUCAUCACUCCCUUCUCCCAAUUCCCAGUGCCCACUCCCCACUCCCCACUCCCCACCCGUGACCCGACACUCCACAGUCCACCCUUCAUCCCUUCCCCUUUCACUUUCCCCUUUCCCCUUUCCACUCUCCACUCUCCAUCAGAUUAAGAUUAAGAAAUCGGUUGAUUCGGUUCCGCUCUCCACUGAGUCCACUCACCAGCAGCGCUGUCUCCAGUCUCCACUCUCUCAGCUGGUUUUGCUUGCUAUCGAGAUCCGGAGCGUUCUUGGCGAGACGAAGUCGUGAAGAAUUGAUGGUAAUGAUUUUGAUGAAGGUUUUUGGAAUAAUGAGGAAGAUAAAGUCAAUGAGGGUGUGUUUAGUUUACAUGACAUAUCAACAGAUUAUUUGUUUUAGGUUUGUUAACUUUUAGUUAAUGAAAGUCUAUGGACAUGUAUGAAUUUUUAUUUGAAUUAUGUAUUUUAAGGUAUUUGGAUAUUUGUAUUGUUUAUUUCAUUUUUAUUUUAAUGGUGUUAUAUUAUUAUUUACUA